rnacentral:rRNA from 1 species
GUGCGAGCGUUGUCCGGAAUCACUGGGCGUAAAGGGCGCGUAGGCGGCUUGGGAAGUCCGUGGUGAAAGCUCGUGGCUCAACUGCGAGUCGGCCAUGGAUACUCCUAAGCUCGAGCACUGUAGAGGCAGGUGGAAUUUCGGGUGUAGCGGUGGAAUGCGUAGAGAUCCGGAAGAACACCGGUGGCGAAGGCGGCCUGCUGGGCAGUAGCUGACGCUGAGGCGCGACAGCGUGGGGAGCAAACAGG